GAUGAACGCUGGCGGCGUGCCUAAUACAUGCAAGUCGAGCGAACAGACGAGGAGCUUGCUCCUCUGACGUUAGCGGCGGACGGGUGAGUAACACGUGGAUAACCUACCUAUAAGACUGGGAUAACUUCGGGAAACCGGAGCUAAUACCGGAUAAUAUAUUGAACCGCAUGGUUCAAUAGUGAAAGACGGUUUUGCUGUCACUAAUAGAUGGACCCGCGCCGCAUUAGCUAGUUGGUAAGGUAACGGCUUACCAAGGCAACGAUGCGUAGCCGACCUGAGAGGGUGAUCGGCCACACUGGAGCGGGGACACGGUCCAGCCUCGGACGGGGGGCAGCAGUAGGGAAUCUUCCGCAAUGGGCGAAAGCCUGACGGGGCAACGCCGCGUGAGUGAUGAAGGUCUUCGGAUCGUAAAACUCUGUUAUUAGGGGAGAACAAAUGUGUAAGUAACGAUGCACGUCUGGACGGUACCUGAUCAGAAAGCCAGGGCUACCUACGU
rnacentral:rRNA from 1 species